UCAGUUUACACCUAGAGCAUUAUGGGAGAUGUAGUCACCCAGGUCAUCACUACCGAGCUCCCUUGCCAAAAAUAAUAUUUUAUUCAAAUAUUACCAAAACAGUAAUGCUAUUAUUGCCCUAUUAAUUUGCAUAAGAACAAUUCAGUCACUGUGAAUUGAUGGAUGAUUUAAAAUCCAGCUAAAGGACAGAAGCUGCACUACAAUACCCAGAAUGCCACAGAAUAUUUAACUUUCAAUGAUCUUUGUCCUAGGUCAUUACUAGAAUACAAACAGGCAACAUGUGCAUUGUAAAUUAAGGGAACUCCUAGCAGCAGUUGGAACAACAAAUACUUCCCUAUGUUAUUGAAUGGAUCGAAUUCAAUAAAAUGCUAUAUGCUGAGUUUAUAUUUUGUUCGUGACAUAUAAUCUUAAAGUCUUGUUUCGUUGAAGUGCACUAUUCAAUUUAGUUUAUGUCCAAGAUAACACUGUUUACUCUUUCUUUAUUCCCCAGAUAACAUUCAAAUUUUAAACUAGUGAGCAAUAACUUAAGAUUUUGCACACCAAUUCAUGAGUUGAACAGCAUUGAUUUUUCUAUCUGAAGUGUAAAUGUCAUGAACCAGACAUAAUGGACAAACACGAGCAGCAGCUAGCUAACAGUCAUGACCUCCUAUUUAAAUGUGACCUCCAUAAUGGAGGUUUUGCAGGUCAGUUUCACUGUAGUUUUCUGAAGAAUGGAUAAACAGCUAAACAAAAGCAACAAUUAAAAAUAUUAGCUGAAAAUAAUGGACAAAUUUUUUUGGUAAAAUUAAAGAAUUGACAGUUGAUAUGUUAGUAACAGCAAUGGAUAAACAGUUUCCAAAAAAUGUUGAAGCAGUUGGCGGUUAGCCAGAUAAAUAGGUAGUUAAAAAAUACAACUAGCUAACAGUAAUAGUAUAUAGUACCAGCUAGUUAAAUCUGUGAGUAAAUAAUUCAAUCACUUAGCUAACAGUAAUGACUAAACAGUUACCUAAAAACAGCUGAAACAGCAGUCAGCAAAGAGUGAUGGAUAAACAUUCAGCUAGAAAUAGUCAUACAUGUAGCUAUCAGUGAUAGAAUAUAGUACCUGUUAGCUAAAAAUGAAGAGUAAAUAGUUAAAUCACAAUAAGGAUAAAAAGUUAGGAAAAUUCAACAAUAAAAAGUUGAAGCUGGCUGCACAGUGCCAUAGUGGUUAGCACUUUCCCCUUGCAGCAAGAAGAUCCCCGGUUCAAAUCCCGGCCUGGGCCUGGGAUUUGGUGGUUUUGUGUUGUUUUUUAAAAACAACACAAAACCUCAUCCCGCUCAACAUAAAAACCGCAGAAUUACAUUUAAAACAUUUUCCGGAAAAAUGUCCCUUAUUACCCCGCUGUCCCUUAUAGCCCCGUUUUACGCUAAUGAAUAAACAGUUAGCUAAAAGCUAAGCAAAGGACGAAGCCUCAGUGUUCCUUAAAAAUGAUGACUUGUGAAUUGUUUCAGUGGAACAUUUGCACCAGAGUUGUAUUUAAAAUGGGUAAUUCACCAAAAAAUACUAGCAGGACUGUCUUACUGUGCGAUAUAAAUCCUGUGCAAAACUUAUGUUGGAAAGUUUGUUGCGAGGAGGUGGCUGUUAUUUGCUGUAGUGAAUGGACCUUUAAAAAUGUAAUAAAUACCUAGCAAAACAGGAGGAAAAAGCUACGUGAGGCUAAUUGCAGGCUGUUACCCCCAGUAGACAUAAAGUUAGUCAUGAUAAUAAUAAACUGCUGAAACAGACCGCUUAAAGUAAUGGGUAAAGAGUUACCUAAUAGCAAAUGGAUAGACAGCUGAAAAAAGUAAAAGUGCUGGAUUGAUAGUUGGAAUAUUGAGCUUCUACUACUAACAGUAAGCUGUGUUACAUAAGUAAUCUGCUGCUGAUAUUAACUAAUUACCUCACUGAUCUUGUAACUGUGUUCUUAUGUAUGCCUUUUUUGGAGAGAAAUUACCAGAACAACCAGCCUGUCAGUGGAUGCCUAAAAUAACCCUCCACGGAAAUGGAUGUCAUCUUCAUUCAGCACAUUUUGGAUGAACCUCCUCAGCUGUUUGGGGUCAGAAGGUCCUGUGGGAGUGUUUCCAUCGCUGUGAUCCGGCUGGAGGAUCAACGAAGUGAAACAGUGAAGCCGACACCGUGGGUUUACUGAACAACCCCGCUGGAGAUUUGCUGCUUUUUGUUUAUAGACUGCAGUAAAUUCAAAAUUUGAGGAUCCUUUUUUGCAACAUUUGUGACUUUUACAUUUUAAAGAGAACACUUAGAUCCUCAGUCACCAUUGAAUACUUUUGUUUCUCCUGGUAACCACGUUGCUGAUGAGGAAUCUAAGCUAAUUUGAGGUUUGCACGCCAUUGUUCCUCAGACACUUCAGCUUGAGUGAAUCCAAAUGUGUUUUGUGACAGACUUUGGUCCGGAGGGUAUAGACAGGAAACUGAAUCUGGAGGCCAAAGGAUCCCAUUGGGAAGCUUCACAUGCAGCCACUGACAGCACACAUCCCUUUAGAAGAUAAUGAAGGAGGAAUAUUUAGCCCAGAAACAAGUCGACUUGUUGGGCCAUGUGCACAAAUCUUUCAAAAAAUACAUAUUUAUCUGUUAGAAAUGAAAGCUAAAUGGACAAAAAUGCAAAAAGACUUCUACAAAGUGCCUUCUUUAGGGGUUUCCAUGGUCUUUUCUCAAUCUGUACUGCAACAACUCAUCUAUGUGUCUGAAGUUCGGCUGUGAGUCUUUGCCUGCAGAAACCUGCUAACUGCAGCCCACAUGGCCUCGGACGGUGGCCGAGCUGCAGGCUUACAGUCUGUAGAUGCUCCCACUGAUACGGCUGCUGCCUGUUUCAGAAAACAUCGUCUCCUCUGUGGAGUCCGUCCGACGUCAAAGCGAUGAUUUCACGUCCAGGCGUGUGGACCGAGAGCCUCCGCGGUGACGUCAAAGCGUCGUGCUAUCGUGUUUACUCUCUCCAUGAAAGAUCAACAGCAGCCUGCAGUAUUUAUUGACGUGCUGUAAUGCCGUGAGGAACCAUAACAUAACAAGUCAUUGAACAUUCUGCCGUGGCCUCCAGUUCAGCUCCCUGAUAUUUUUCCCAAAGCACAGAUGGAGCUGAAUUAGGUCAACAAAUAAGAAGUGAAAAAAACAAAUGCUACUAAUGCUGAAAUUCGUUUUAAAUGGGAGAAAAACAGCUGUUUUGUGGAUAUGAUGACAUGUUAUGACGUCAUUUUGGGCUUAUUUGUCGAUGCUUCUCGUCUCUGUGUCAUCAUACAUCAUUCUACAUCUUCCUCUGGUCAUUUGAAGCUUGUUUGGGGUCCUUUUAUUGUUGUCUGGGUUAUUUUGCAUCUCAUUUGGGGGCAUUUUCAGUUUCUUUGUGGUCUCAGUAAUCAUUUUAAAUCUGUCCAUGGUCUUUUUAGGGUCAUUUAGAGUUUAUUUCAGGUUAUUUCAUGUCUUCAUCGUUAUUCUGCGCCUUUCGGUCAAAAGUUUGUUUGUAGUUUUUGUGGUAUGUCAUGUUUUUUGAACAUUGUGCAGGUGAUGCUGACACCUUUGGUGCAGAAGAAAAGUAAACACUUAAAGAACAAUAAUAAUGAAAAAAGUAACACUGACAUUAAGAGCUCACCUAAAUCCAAGAAAAAAAGACUUAGUGGUUUUCUGACGAUAUAGUUUCAUAUUUGUUCAAUAAUUUCUUUUAAAAAAUAAACUUAAUAAGUGUGCUA